rnacentral:rRNA from 1 species
AUUGAACGCUGGCGGCAUGCUUUACACAUGCAAGUCGAACGGUAACAGGUUAAGCUGACGAGUGGCGAACGGGUGAGUAAUGCAUCGGAACGUGCCCGAUCGUGGGGGAUAACACUUCGAAAGAAGUGCUAAUACCGCAUACGAUCUGAGGAUGAAAGCGGGGGACCGUAAGGCCUCGCGCGAUCGGAGCGGCCGAUGUCAGAUUAGGUAGUUGGUGGGGUAAAGGCUCACCAAGCCGACGAUCUGUAGCUGGUCUGAGAGGACGACCAGCCACACUGGGACUGAGACACGGCCCAGACUCCUACGGGAGGCAGCAGUGGGGAAUUUUGGACAAUGGGCGCAAGCCUGAUCCAGCAAUGCCGCGUGCAGGAAGAAGGCCUUCGGGUUGUAAACUGCUUUUGUACGGAGCGAAAAGGCUCCCUCUAAUACAGGGGGCUCAUGACGGUACCGUAAGAAUAAGCACCGGCUAACUACGUGCCAGCCGCCGCCGUAA